rnacentral:rRNA from 1 species
UACGUAGGACGCGAGCGUUGUCCGGAAUUAUUGGGCGUAAAGAGCUCGUAGGCGGUUUGUCGCGUCGGUUGUGAAAACCCAAGGCUCAACCUUGGGCCUGCUUUCGAUACGGGCAGACUAGAGGUAUGGCAGGGGAGAACGGAAUUCCUGGUGUAGCGGUGAAAUGCGCAGAUAUCAGGAGGAACACCGGUGGCGAAGGCGGUUCUCGUGGACG